rfam:Bacillus ginsengihumi strain M2.11 NODE_65, whole genome shotgun sequence.
CAAGAUGAGAUUUCCCAUAGUUUAACUAGUAAGAUCCCUGAAAGAUGAUCAGGUAGAUAGGUUCGAGGUGGAAGCGUGGCGACACGUGGAGCUGACGAAUACUAAUCGAUCGAGGACUUAACCAA